rnacentral:rRNA from 1 species
UACGAAGGGGGCUAGCGUUGCUCGGAAUCACUGGGCGUAAAGCGCACGUAGGCGGAUCGUUAAGUCAGGGGUGAAAUCCUGGAGCUCAACUCCAGAACUGCCUUCGAUACUGAGGAUCUCGAGUCCGGGAGAGGUGAGUGGAACUGCGAGUGUAGAGGUGAAAUUCGUAGAUAUUCGCAAGAACACCAGUGGCGAAGGCGGCUCACUGGCCCGGUACUGACGCUGAGGUGCGAAAGCGUGGGGAGCAAACAGG